GAUGAACGCUGGCGGCGUGCCUAAUACAUGCAAGUCGAACGAAACUUCUUUAUCACCGAGUGCUUGCACUCACCGAUAAAGAGUUGAGUGGCGAACGGGUGAGUAACACGUGGGCAACCUGCCCAAAAGAGGGGGAUAACACUUGGAAACAGGUGCUAAUACCGCAUAACCAUAGUUACCGCAUGGUAACUAUGUAAAAGGUGGCUAUACUACCGCUUUUGGAUGGGCCCGCGGCGCAUUAGCUAGUUGGUAGGGUAAAGGCUUACCAAGGCAAUGAUGCGUAGCCGAAUUGAGAGUUUGAUCGGCCACAUUGGGACUGAGACACGGCCCAAACUCCUACGGGAGGCAGCAGUAGGGAAUCUUCCACAAUGGGCGAAAGCCUGAUGGAGCAACGCCGCGUGGGUGAAGAAGGUCUUCGGAUCGUAAAACCCUGUUGUUAGAGAAGAAAGUGCGUGAGAGUAACUGUUCACGUUUCGACGGUAUCUAACCAGAAAGCCACGGCUGACUACGUG
rnacentral:rRNA from 1 species